CCUACGGGGGGCAGCAGUGAGGAAUAUUGGUCAAUGGACGAGAGUCUGAACCAGCCAAGUAGCGUGAAGGAUGACUGCCCUAUGGGUUGUAAACUUCUUUUAUAUGGGAAUAAAAUGUUCCACGUGUGGGAUUUUGUAUGUACCAUAUGAAUAGGGAUCGGCUAACUCCGUGCCAGCAGCCGCGGUAAUACGGAGGAUCCGAGCGUUAUCCGGAUUUAUUGGGUUUAAAGGGAGCGUAGGUGGAUUGUUAAGUCAGUUGUGAAAGUUUGCGGCUCAACCGUAAAAUUGCAGUUGAAACUGGCAGUCUUGAGUACAGUAGAGGUGGGCGGAAUUCGUGGUGUAGCGGUGAAAUGCUUAGAUAUCACGAAGAACUCCGAUUGCGAAGGCAGUUCACUGGACUGCAACUGACACUGAGGCUCGAAAGUGUGGGUAUCAAACAGGAUUAGAUACCCCAGUAGUC
rnacentral:rRNA from 1 species